GAUGGGCCUGCGUCUGAUUAGCUAGUUGGUAAGGUAACGGCUUACCAAGGCGACGAUCAGUAGCCGACCUGAGAGGGUGAACGGCCACAUUGGAACUGAGACACGGUCCAAACUCCUACGGGAGGCAGCAGUGGGGAAUAUUGCACAAUGGGCGAAAGCCUGAUGCAGCAACGCCGCGUGAAGGAAGAAGGCCUUCGGGUCGUAAACUUCUGUCCUUGGGGAAGAAGAACUGACGGUACCCAAGGAGGAAGCCCCGGCUAACUACGUGCCAGCAGCCGCGGUAAUACGUAGGGGGCAAGCGUUAUCCGGAAUUAUUGGGCGUAAAGAGUACGUAGGUGGCAACCUAAGCGCAGGGUUUAAGGCAAUGGCUCAACCAUUGUUCGCCCUUGCGAACUGGGAUGCUUGAGUGCAGGAGAGGAAAGCGGAAUUCCUAGUGUAGCGGUGAAAUGCGUAGAUAUUAGGAGGAACACCAGUGGCGAAGGCGGCUUUCUGGACUGUAACUGACACUGAGGUACGAAAGCGUGGGGAGCAAACAGGAUUAGAUACCCUGGUAGUCCACGCCGUAAACGAUGAGCACUAGGUG
rnacentral:rRNA from 1 species